UGUACACGCUGUGACUAGCAUAUCAAUAAGCGGAGGAAAAGAAACUAACAAGGAUUCCCCUAGUAACGGCGAGUGAAGCGGGAAGAGCUCAAAUUUGAAAUCUUAAAGGGUUUCCCUUUACGAAUUGUAGUUUAAAGAAGUGUUUUCUGUUGAGGUUUUGGUAAAAGUUCUUUGGAAUAGGACAUCAUAGAGGGUGAGAAUCCCGUAUUUGACCUUUACUUUCAACUUUGUGAUACACUUUCAAAGAGUCGGAUUGUUUGGGAAUGCAGUCCAAAAUGGGUGGUAAAUUUCAUCUAAAGCUAAAUAUUGGCGAGAGACCGAUAGCGAACAAGUACCGUGAGGGAAAGAUGAAAGGAACUUUGAAAAGAGAGUUAAACAGUACGUGAAAUUGUUAAAAGGGAAGCGUUUGACACCAGUGUUGUUUUUCUGAAAAUCAAUUAAAGAACUGUUUAUGCUAAGCUGUUUAGACUUUAUCAGCUAUCUGUUUAGUUUUGAGCUUUUCUUUAAUGCACUUUUCAGUUAACAAGUCAACAUCAAUUUCUUUUGCUGUAAAAAAGCUUGAGGAAGGUGGCUUGAGAUUCGUCUUAAGUGUUUAUAGCCUCUUGCCUAUGCAGUCGGAGAGAUUGAGGUCUGCAGCGUAGAUCCUUCGGGGCUAAAUGCAUUUGUGCUAAGUUAUAGCAUUUUAUAGACAACUUGUUGACUAUGAUUUGUCUUGUAGCUUACUCGCCUAUGUUAUUUUACCUACGCUUAGGAUGUUGAAGAUGUAGCACAUCAU
rnacentral:rRNA from 1 species